GGAGGCGAAUGUUCACUGGUGUGGGCCCCGGGCUUCAAACCCGGUCGGGAGGUGCUUAAUGGGUGUCUCCGGUGGGUUCGAUUCCCACACGCCUCCGCCA
rnacentral:tRNA from 1 species